UGAUUGGGAUUUUUUUGUGUGAGAAUGUUUAUUUACUGUUUUGUUUUUUCAAUUUAUUGAUGUCAUGAUGAAAUAUCCCCCAGGCUAUAUAAAGUUAUUGAUAGGCUGACACUCACAGAAAGUGUGUGAACAGCAGCGAUGAGAGGAUUCCACAGAAUUGAGAGGUGUAAGAGACUUCAUAAUGGUGGAGCUAAAUUUACGACAUUUCUCUUGGCUAAUUCCUACCUGAUUUCACAAUAUGUAUAUUUAGCUCUUUCUGAUGUUCCCUCUUUGCUGUUGACCAACAGUGAAAAAUAGUUGGUUUCCACUUGUUGGUUUCAGGACUCCGCCAACAGAGCUGUGCAGUUUUUGCCGGUUCUGCACCCUUCUGCUUUCUCCGCAGGUGUCCGCAGUUGACAGGUGGGCCACCUACGGCUGGUUCAGCAGCCUCUGAUCGCGCUAUUAGAGCAGCAUAUGACAGCAGGAGGACGCCGGAGUGUUAACCAUAGCGGUUUCCUCUUGUGCCAAAUCCUAGUUCUGAGUCUCCACUAGACCCUCCCUUUUCACCUGGCUUCAAGCAAGGUGCUUAGAGUCUGGUUUCUCCUGCUACCUUGGAUCACAGGAAAGUAAGAGCUGUUCGGACCACCCUCUAACCCACGCCCAACUGGUCCCUCGGACACCUGCCACCUACUCCAUCGAUCUGCGCUGAGUCCGCUCCGUCCUCCCCACGUCCGGUGAAGUUGAAUGGGUCCCGGUGCUGUUGUUCCCUCAUCGUCUCCAUUGCUUCCAUUUUCUCUGGUUCAACUCAAUAAACAGUUAACUGAUCCCUGUUGCCGAGUGUGGUNCUGC